rnacentral:rRNA from 1 species
UGUAUAAGAGACGGAUGUAUAGGAGCUGACGCCUGCCCGGUGCUGGAAGGUUAAGGGGAUCUGUUAGAGCAAUCGAAGCAGUGAACUUAAGCCCAAGUAAACGGCGGCCGUAACUAUAACGGUCCUAAGGUAGCGAAAUUCCUUGUCGGGUAAGUUCCGACCCGCACGAAAGGCGUAACGAUUUGGGCACUGUCUCAACAACAGAC